rnacentral:snoRNA from 1 species
AACCUCCAGAUUCCUUCUUCUUUGGGUCUAAAUAUGGGUCUAGCUGGCUAAAAACAAAGAAGGGAAAGUAAAUGUGAAAUGGACUUCAAGUCUUUAGUGACAUACAUGUUUAUUUCAAACACAU